CGAGGGUGCAAACGUUGCUCGGAUUUACUGGGCGUAAAGCGCGUGUAGGCGGACUCGCAAGUCGGUUGUGAAAUCCCUGGGCUCAACCUAGGAACUGCAUCCGAAACUGCUUGUCUUGAGUAAUGGAGAGGGUGGCGGAAUUCCCGGUGUAGAGGUGAAAUUCGUAGAUAUCGGGAGGAACAUCAGUGGCGAAGGCGGCCACCUGGACAUUUACUGACGCUGAGACGCGAAAGCGUGGGGAGCAAACAGGAUUAGAGACCCGAGUAGUCC
rnacentral:rRNA from 1 species